GUUUAUUAUCCCCUGUGCUGUUGGCUAAGAUGCCAAAGAACAAUUGUAUGAAAUAUUUGGUCGCCGAAAAUCUAUAAAGAUGAGUCGUUUACAUUUCCCAAAUGGCAAAAGUCGUAGGAAUAUUGUUUGUCAUCGAUACGUAUUACAUACGUCAGUAGUCUAUUAAUAAGUUGGCGGCAAUUUCAAAUUACAUAGAAGACGAAAUUUACGUACCUUUUAAAUUGAGAGGAUUCUGAUGAUCAGGGCUUUCGGUGGCUUCAAGUGCCGGCUACUUCACUGACAAAAAUAUAAAUUCAAAAAGAUAAAAAAUAUCUUUUUCAAAUGUUUACAGGCAGCCGAGAGACGUAUUGUCGCAAAGUCGCGGUCACGAUAAACAAGGGUGAAAAGUCAGUGUUUACCGUGGGCUAAAUAUAGUUCACAUGAAUUCAGGUCACUGAUUGGUUGUCUAUUUAAAGUCAGAAUGCAUCGUUUCUUUUCAAAGAUAAAGAGACGUUCCGGUGGUCAUUAAACGAUAACAAUAGAGACGUUCCGAUGGGCAUUAACUCGUUGGCUUUUUUUUUUGGCUUUUAAAACGUGAAGACAAUCAGAUAGGAUGACAAUCUUAUGUUAUGGAAUAAUAUCAGUCAAAUUAAAGAAAGUGUAGUAGAUCAUAUUGUUCAGAAUCUGGAAAACAGUAUCUUUUGAAGUUCAUUUUUCAAAGCCCACGUGGUGUUCAGAGAAUCAAGGUCAAAAACGAAA
rnacentral:lncRNA from 1 species